rnacentral:lncRNA from 1 species
GAAGCAGCAACAGCAGCAACAACAACAAUAACAACGACAACAACAACAACAACAACAACAACAACAACAACAACAACAACAACAACACAACAAUGACAACAACAACAACAACAACAACACCACCACCACCACCACCAACAACAACAACAAGAACAAUAACAACAACAACAACAACGACGACGACGACGACAACAACAACGACAAGAACAACGACAACAACAACAACAACAACAACAACAACAACAACAACAAC